CUUGACUUCAACAAUAACCACUGCUGCGUUAUUCGAUCGAUUUUCAUGUAUUGCAAUGAAACAAGAGUAUAAUAGAUAUUUGCUUUUUUUCUCCCCCUGAUCCCGAGAUUGUSUCGGCUUCGAGCCGGCUGCAAAACCUGCUACUCCAACAUAGGGUUGUCAUUAUGACCCUCUUAAUUAGAUUCACCCUCAACCCGGACAGAGAACAAUACUACGAAAAUGUUGGAACGGUACAGUAUUCACAGUUAUGUCAMAUGGCUUAUGUGUUUUGUAUCAGCACGACAGCACGGGUACUAUGAUUUAUCAACCAAUAUUAAAAUUUAAUUUAUUUGGAUACUAGUAAUCUCUUAAGAAAUUAACUGCAAAAAGGUGUUCGCAAAAGUAAGUAUUAUUAUUUUAAAGCAAGGAAAAUAGCAAAUACUAUUUUGUAAUUUYMGUAAGCUAAAUUUUGUUUUCUUUUUUAAUUUACUCAU